GUUGUCUUAGUGGAAUGAUUAAGGCGAUAGACUAGAAUUCUUUUGGGAUCUUCCAGCGCAGGUUCGAAUCCUGCCGACAACG
rnacentral:tRNA from 1 species